rnacentral:rRNA from 1 species
UACGUAGGGUGCAAGCGUUGUCCGGAAUUAUUGGGCGUAAAGAGCUCGUAGGCGGUCCGUCACGUCGGCUGUGAAAACCUGGGGCUCAACCCCGGGCCUGCAGCCGAUACGGGCGGACUAGAAUUCGGUAGGGGAGACUGGAAUUCCUGAUGUAGCGGUGAAAUGCGCAGAUAUCAGGAGGAACACCGGUGGCGAAGGCGGGUCUCUGGGCCGAUAUUGACGCUGAGGAGCGAAAGCGUGGGGAGCGAACAGG